ensembl:lncRNA
CAGAGGGGUUAGAUGUAUCCAUGUUAUUAUUCCAUUUUUAGGCUGUUUAUCGGUGCAAGGGGCUCUAUGAAGAGAGAGGUUGAGCUGAGGACCCCUCAUACUGCCCAGGCAGGGACAGCCAUCACCCUGACUCUGACUGUUCAGGCAGAAGACUUACCAGACUCAAAUUAUGCUGUGGUACAUCUGACAGUGAUACCCGAGGAGCCUGACAAAAUGCCUCCGGCAUGUUCUUCCCUGCAAGUGGAGUCCUCCUGCCCCUCUCUGUGCUCUCAGGGCCACUGGAAAGUCUCACUUGUAGCAAAAGACAGAGGUCACUCUGGACUGGCAUCCAUUCAGCUGGCACAAGGAGAAGGCACUCUCAUUCUGUCUGAAGUGACUAUGCAGAGAGGUGAAGAACAUUUCCCACAGAAUCAUGAAGAGAACACAGGAGCAGUACACCUUCCAUUGCUACAGCCACAAAAGGACACCUCAGAACAGCACUUUGGAACAGAAGCUGAACAUGGACGUCAAAGGCUGGACGGAGUCCAGUUAUUGAAGUGGGAUCGUCCAGUAAAUAUCAGUGAAUGGACUAAGGGGAAACCCGUAAUGAUGCGUUAUUCCUCAGGCUGCUGUGGCCCUCAUGCAGAGAUAGUGCUGUGGGAUAAAGCGGGUAAUAUGAGACGCUGUCAUCUCAAAGCCAGUCAGCAAAGGGCUUUACGAGAAAACAACAGGGCGCACAGUGGGGUAUCUAUUUCUCGACUACUUCUCAUGUUGUGGGGCCACUUAACAUGGAGUACUAUCUAUGACCAUAGAUGAAAUUUGCUUGACUUAUUAUGCAACUCUGUGUGGACACGAGAGUACAUAGCAUGCUUAAAUACUAGUACACAGAAAACAAGAAAUGUUACUCAGGGACGUUAUAUUCUAUAAAUGUUUAGGUCUUCACAGGAUAUUUGUAUUAUUCUGUCAGAAUUUUUGUACAAACAAAAACUUUUAAACAAGUAAAUCUAAUAUAAUGAUUUCAAGUUUUCACAAUUAAUAACAUGCCAAACUGAGUGUUGUGUGCAAUCCACUUUUUAUUUUAGAUGCCAUAAAACUUCUCUGUUUUUACAUGUCUGGCAUAUGUCUGUUCUUACCUCUUGGUUUUUAGUAUAAAACAAUGGUCCAGAGAAAGAAAAUGAAGGUUACAGUCCCACUGGACAACACCACAAUAUUUAUGGGUAGGAAAUCCCAGGGUACUCCGGAAAUCAGGUUAAGCGGCUUAACCGGGUAAAUUUACUCGGAGUAAACUGAUAACCUUAACUGGAUUAUCUGGAUUGACCAAACUAAUUCCAGACCACGUUUUUGGAACAGGGAGUAACUAAAGAUUUGGGGUAAUCAAUCAAGAGUUCAGGGAUUAUAUCAGGGUUUCUCAAUCGACCAGUGUAGGCCUAUAGACUGAGUGAAUGAUUCAUGAAUGACUACGGUGCAACAAGUCCAAAUGACAAGAGUCCAAAUGAUUCACUGGUAGGAGUUGCUUACUUUUAUUGAAUCAAACAUUAAAUCAGUUUAAGCAGUUAGUGAAUUAAUCAUUGAACCACAAAUUAUUACCUCAUUGCAUCUUUCCUCAUGACUCAAAAUGAAACAAGAACUCAUGUUGCAUAUAAAAACACUGAGAUAUAAACCAGUGACAAUUUUUGUUGUAUGCAGGGGUAAGACCAAAGAGCCAGGGUGACUGAAACCAAGGUUUAAGAGUGUCUAUAACAUGCACACCACUAUGACAACGACACUCCAAACACUUAUAUUAGUAGCUUUAAGGGUAGCUCAGAAAACAAUGUAGAGUUUCCUCUCUCAGGUGUAGCUUUGGAAAGCCUAAUUCAUUCUAGCAAAUAGUUUUUUCCUAAAUGGUUCUCUCUCAUACUGUAUGUAGCUUUUGAAAUGUUGACGUAUUCUAGUGAAUUGUUUCAUCCAAACGGUCCUGUAAAUAAACAGAUUACAAAAUUAUUGGACGAUGAUUUGAUGACUGAUUUGAGUCCCUAUAUGGCAUUCCAGCUCUCACCUGAUUCAAUUCAUCAGCUCAUUAAUAGAAACUCCAAGAACUGAAAUGAAUGGGUCAGAUCGGGGAGAUAUGCAAAAUAAGUACUGUUCAUGUGUCCCUGGGAACAGGCUUGUAGAAUACUAUACUCAAAAUAGCUUGACUGUGGUUUAACUACUUUGAAUUGCAAGAAUAGGGACUUUGAAAGGAGACAAAGACCAAGAUCCACCAUACUUCACCACAGAAACUAAGGAAUAUCUUCACUUGGAGAUUUCUGGCUUUGCCACCAUUGGCAUGUAUGUAAAUGUGCAUUUAUUUAUUUUAUUAAUGUAUUUAUUUAUUUUUUC